rnacentral:lncRNA from 1 species
UCUUCCUUGGUCAUUGUACUGGGAUCCAUGGCAGGGGCAGAUGAACUUAUUCUCAGCAGCAUUCCAGGGCACCACACACCCAAGAUGUGUGCACACUGCAUUUAUUCCAUAUGUUGCUAAAGUCCUGUCUUUCUCCACAACAAGGUAGGUGGGAUCUCCCUUAAUCACAGAAAAAAGCCCAAAUGAUACUCAUCAUCACUUCAUAUUUAAAAGUUGGAGUAAGUGUUGUUCUUUGUAACUUAAAUGCUUAUUCUGUAAUUUUACUCUUUUACUUGGCCCUUCUGUGACUUGUAAUUUCUCAAGAUUCCAUGCUAGCUGUGCUCAAAAGGAAUCAAAAUGAUCUAGUUUUGGCACAUUCAUACACGCAAAGAAUCAUUUAUGUUUUUAGGAAAAUUAACUAUUUAAUCUAUAUGGUAUAGAAAACUCGUUAGUUGAUCUUCUAUUUUGAAAAAUGUAUUAAAACAUUUCGAUAUUUUAGAAGUUUAGAAUUAGUUUUUUUUGUUGAUAUAUUAAUUUCCCUUAUGCUGUUUGUGUAGCUAUUGGUACCUUCAAUCCUUGAGUGAGGGUUCGGUCACCAGGGCCAUGAGUCUUAAGCCAUUGUGCUGCAAUUACAUCAUUUCCAACUGCAUCCUUUGCUACGGUGCCACCUCCAGCACCUCCCGUCCUGUUAAAAGUUUCCCAUUGAAACAUCAAACUUUGUGCUUAAAAUUUAAACAGAGAGAGAAUUUAUCAAUAUUAGGGAACUUUUGAGCAAAUCCAAUUACUUACCCAGGUGGGACAAAGAAGGCGGUAUAAGGAACCAGCAUGAAUCCAGUAGGGAGAGAAAUAGCACCCAGAAGAAGCAGAUUCAUGAGCUGCCUCUUACCCAUGUCAGGAACUCUAUCAUCAGCAGGAACACUUGAUGCCUGGCAUGUGAUUCUC